rnacentral:rRNA from 1 species
AUGGCAACGAUCAGUAGCACCAUGGUCUUGGUCGCCGCCAUACCAUCGCCGGCUCUAGGGCUACCUCAGCUGAGAGUGGCCAGGGCCGAGAGGCUGAGGUGCAGGUUCAGCAAGAGGGUGUCUUCGGCUCUGGCUCCGGUGGUGACCAAGGGCGUGCCGCUGCUCGCCGUGGCGAGCACCACGGCGGCAUCAGCGGCCCCGAUGCUGGCCUCGGCGCUGGCGCUGGUGGACGAGCGGAUGUCAAGUGAGGCCACCGGGCUGAGCAACGACCUGCUGGGGUGGGUCCUGCUGGCUGCCAUCGGCCUUGUCUUGUGCUUCUACACCGUCUACUCCUCCACCUUUGACGACGACGACCAGUCCGGCGGCGGCGGCAUCGCGCUCUGA